rnacentral:sRNA from 1 species
AUUAUACUAUAAAUAGGUGGCGCAGUAUUCUAGUCGGCUAGUCUAUUCUGAAGGCGGGGCUAAAAAUCCGCUAAAGGGCACAUCGAUGAAGUUCCUUGUGCUGGCUCGCUACGCCCAGUGGUGGGUUGGUGCUGGGAGUAAGGGGGAUGGGGCGACCGCAAUGGCAUGCGCAAUCGACCCUACCCCCGCGGAGACCCUUGUGCGUGGGGAAACCUACGGCAAGGGAUUAAACCUGCAAAGCGGUGUUAAGCUGCGUGCAGCGUAGCCUGCCUUGAGCAAGAAUGGUGGAGGAUAGAUCAGAUCCAUAUUCAUAAGGGCCUAAGAAUAUGGAUUAUCGCUAUAGGAAACCAUUUUUGCAAAAGAGGCUAGGAAUAGAUGAUGCCGUCGAGGAAAGCUCCUAGACUGUUCGUUUUGAGGCAGGAUGGGGAUUGCAGUGUGGACUAAGUGGUAAUCUAGCCUCACAUUCGGCAACGGUGUGAAUUUUCAGUUAAAGGGAAACCGCCUAGGCGGCGACGCCUGGGUCUGAAAAUGGGAAAGCCUGCUAGACCUAAGCCGCAAACUUAACUCAUCCUGCUGCCACCUAAAUUAAAUAAAGG